rnacentral:lncRNA from 1 species
AAAACGGACAAGAAACAUAAUCACGCACAAACACAGACAUCCUACGCUAAACUAAAUAACCCCCCCCCCCCUACUAAUAACUAACCCAAAACAGGUGCGUGCCUACCUAGACCUAACCAACAGAAAGUGAAACAAAAAAGGAUCGAUGGCAGCUAGUAGGCCGGCGACGACGACCGCUGAGCUCCGCCCGGCCGAGGAGGGGCGCCACCAUCCGUCGGUGUCGUGACAUUGGAGGAGCGUCUUCUGGAGCUGCAGGAGCUGGAGACGCGGGUGCAGGAGGUCUGGGAGGAGUGGAGGCUGUUGUACCAGGAGGAAGUAGAGAUCCUAAGGCUACAGAGGGAACUGGAGCAGGCAGAGCACUGGCUCAGUACCUACGAAGCCACUCUGAGGGCAGAGGAGUACGGGGUGAAGACAGCCCAGUUAAAAGCAAGCCUUUAGCUCAGUGGGCUAACACACACUUGUGGUGCGCAGGAGACCUGGGUUUGAACUUAGACUCUGUGUCAGACAUUCUGGAGUGGAUGAAGAAACAGGAGGACUUAGGGGCUAUGAUUCAAGCCCAAAGUGACAGGUUCAGCACCUCACAGAAAAAGAUGACAAACGAAAAGAUGACUUUUGCAUGAAUACAGUAGAUAACUCACACGUCUAGAUCCAAGAUGGCGUAGCAGUGCAGACGUUGUUUGUCGUUCUCCCGGAUACAUUUUGUAUUUUUCGUCUGUUUUGUAUAUAUUUAAAUUUAUUUUCAAUCUCUUUUUCCAUUUUUAAAUUAAAUAUACCUUCUGGCAACCCGCCUCACCCAAUGUGAUACGGAUCUGCUAUUUUUAGACCUUAUAGACAGAACCUCCAUCAAAAGCUAACCAGCUAAUUAGCUACUAGCUAUUUAGUCAUUGUUUGCCACUGCUAGCGGCCUUUACCUUUUGCACAGUCACCAGUCGCUUUUAGCCUCGAUAAUACUUGCCAGCCUGCCAGUAUCGGACUGUUUUCUCCAUUACAACACCGGAUUCCUGCCGUAAGCCCUGGACCAUUACCCCUGAUCAUCACAGCUAGCUAGCUGCCACCGAGUGGCCCAGCCCCGAAGCUAGCCUUGAGCCUCCCGGCCUGCUCAGUGACUACUCGGCUACACAGCUGAUGCCUCCCGGACUCUUCACUAACACGACUAGAAUCCACUGCUCCACCGGAUUCUUGCCGUAAGCUCUGGACCUUUGCAUCGGAUCAUUGCUGCUAGCUAGCUGCUACCGAGUGGCUAUAGUGGCAAACGCCCUGGUCCCGAAGCUAGCACCAGUUAGCCGAGAGCCAGGCGCAUCUCCCGGCUAGCAAACUAAAUUACUCCAGCUACACUACCUCGUUUGCCAACUGGCCUGGACCCUUUGUCGACACGGAGCCCCGCCGUUCCAUCACGACUGGUCUGCCG